rnacentral:rRNA from 1 species
GGCCGGGCAAAACCGGUGCCAGCCGCCGCGGUAACACCGGCAGCUCGAGUGGUAACCGCUUUUAUUGGGUCUAAAGGGUCCGUAGCCCGUCCGAUAAGUUUCUUGGGAAAUCCCCCAUCUUAAAUGUCGGGAAUCCCGGGGAUACUUUCGGACUUGAGGCCGGGAGAGGCAGGAGGUACUCCCGGGGUAGGGGUGAAUUCCUUUAUUCCUGGGAGGACCACCUGUGGCGAAGGCGUCCAGCUGGAACGGACCUGACGGUGAGGGACGAAAGCCAGGGGCGCGAACCGGAUUAGAUACCCGGGUAGUCCUGGCCGUAAACGAUGCGGACUAGGUGUUGGGCAGGCUUCGACCUGUCCCAGUGCCGAAGGGAAGCUGUUAAGUCCGCCGCCUGGGAAGUACGGCCG